CUAAUACAAACAAGAAUGUGUCCCCAGUACACGGAUGCCCCAUCCGCACUAUCAUUUUCUAUGUUCAGUGGACCGUGAAAAUGGGGUUAAAUCUCUAAUUUGGAAUUAAAAUUAGAAAGAUCAUAUCAUACAGAACAUAUAUACUAAGUUUCAAGUUGAUUGGACUUCAACUUCAUCAAAAACUACCUCGACCAAAAACUUUAACCUGAC
rnacentral:lncRNA from 1 species